GACGAACGCUGGCGGCGUGCCUAAUACAUGCAAGUUGAGCGCUGAAGGUUGGUACUUGUACCCACUGGAUGAGCAGCGAACGGGUGAGUAACGCGUGGGUAAUCUGCCUUUGAGCGGGGGACAACAUUUGGAAACGAAUGCUACUACCGCAUCAAAACUUUAAACACAAGUUUUAAGUUUGAAAGAUGCAAUUGCAUCACUCAAAGAUGAUCCCGCGUUGUAUUAGCUAGUUGGUGAGGUAAAGGCUCACCAAGGCGAUGAUACAUAGCCGACCUGAGAGGGUGAUCGGGCAAAAUGGGACUGAGACAAGGCCCAAACUCCUACGGGAGGCAGCAGUAGGGAAUCUUCGGCAAUGGACGAAAGGCUGACCGAGGAACGCCGCGGGAGGGAAGAAGGGUUUCGGAUCGGAAAACUCUGUUGGUAGAGAAGAACGUUGGUGAGAGUGGAAAGCUCAUCAAGUGACGGUAACUACCCAGAAAGGGACGGCUAACUACGUG
rnacentral:rRNA from 1 species